GGUUACUAAUAUAUUCGUUGGAUCCGCCUCGAGUUUCGAGGUACCGGGGGCCGGGUUAACCCGGUCGCUGGCUGCAGGUAGCGUUGACCAAAGGACUUCCGAAAACUUAGUCAACACGAAAGUCAUCUUAGCACACCCCCCUCCGGGACGUCGUGACUUCGUCAACAUUUCAUCCACCUCACCCGACGAUCCGUCUGACGCAGCUUCCGGACCGGAUCAAUUUGGCGCCGUCUGUGGGAACACAUGCACCUGUUCCGGAACGUGAAGAUGGACGGCGUCGGGAGGUUCUUUGCCUUUAUCAUAAUCCCGGAGGAUCUCGACGCAUAUAUUAUCUUUUAUCCUCACUCCACCGGUAUUCGGGAGUCGAGGGAUCGAGUGGAGCUUCAGCUGGCUGACAGGUUAAUUUUUCCAUUAUGUUUUUUCUCUGACUCCACGGGUAUUCGGGAGUUAAGGGACCGAGACAAACCCUUAGUCGGUUGGCACGACUUCCCGAUCAGUUUCUUGGUCGAGCGAUCGAGUGGAGCUUCAGCUGGCUGACAGGUUAAUUUUUCCAUUAUGUUUUUUCUCUGACUCCACGGGUAUUCGGGAGUUAAGGGACCGAGACAAACCCUUAGUCGGUUGGCACGACUUCCCGAUCAGUGAAGAAGACGAUUGAGGAAUCCAUGGAGCAUGGCGUCGGUAGGUGAUGCCAAUGACGAGGGAGGCGUGCGAUCAGGCGCGAAAAAAAAAAAAGAGUUAGUGUACGUACGAAAGGGAAAGAGCAGAUGGAUGAACCUUUACGCUUGUGCCAGAGCGAGGCCAGCGAAGAAGAGAGAAGAGCUGAGCUGCUGAGGCGAGGUCACAAGCAACGAAGCAGGUGGUGAAUUGAUGAAUUUAAUGAUCAACUCAAGUAAACGGAAGGUUGAAGCAGACAACUCUAGUUAAGCGGACCGAUCGUCCCAAUUCGAUAUUCGAUAU